rnacentral:rRNA from 1 species
GUGAGGAAUAUUGGACAAUGGAUGGAAAUCUGAUCCAGCCAUGCCGCGUGCAGGAAGACGGCCCUAUGGGUUGUAAACUGCUUUUAUACGGGAGCAAUAAGGUCUAUGCAUAGAUUGAUGAGAGUACCGUAUGAAUAAGCAUCGGCUAACUCCGUGCCAGCAGCCGCGGUAAUACGGAGGAUGCGAGCGUUAUCCGGAUUUAUUGGGUUUAAAGGGUGCGUAGGCGGCUUUGUAAGUCAGCGGUGAAAUUGUGCAGCUUAACUGUAAAAGCGCCGUUGAUACUGUGAAGCUAGGAUUUGGUUGCGGUGGGCGGAAUGUGUGGUGUAGCGGUGAAAUGCAUAGAGAUCACACAGAAUAUCGAUUGCGAAGGCAGCUCACAAAGCCAAUAUUGACGCUGAGGCACGAAAGUGUGGGGAUCAAACAGGAUUAGAAACCCCAGUAGUCC